rnacentral:rRNA from 1 species
CGGUAACAGCUCAAAUUUGAAAUCUGGCCUCACGGUCCGAGUUGUAAUUUGUAGAGGAUGCUUCGAGCAUGGUCUGGCCUAAGUUCCUUGGAACAGGACGUCAUAGAGGGUGAGAAUCCCGUAUG